AACGAACGCUGGCGGCAUGCCUAACACAUGCAAGUCAAACGAGACCUUCGGGUCUAGUGGCGCACGGGUGCGUAACGCGUGGGAACCUGCCCUUAGGUUCGGAAUAACUCCCCGAAAGGGGUGCUAAUACCGGAUAAUGUCUUCGGACCAAAGAUUUAUCGCCUUUGGAUGGGCCCGCGUUGGAUUAGCUAGUUGGUAGGGUAAAAGCCUACCAAGGCGACGAUCCAUAGCUGGUCUGAGAGGAUGAUCAGCCACACUGGGACUGAGACACGGCCCAGACUCCUACGGGAGGCAGCAGUGGGGAAUAUUGGACAAUGGGCGAAAGCCUGAUCCAGCAAUGCCGCGUGAGUGAUGAAGGCCUUAGGGUUGUAAAGCUCUUUUACCCGGGAUGGUAAUGACAGUACCGGGAGAAUAAGCUCCGGCUAACUCCGUG
rnacentral:rRNA from 1 species